rnacentral:rRNA from 1 species
UUAAGCGACUAAGCGUACACGGUGGAUGCCCUGGCAGUCAGAGGCGAUGAAGGACGUGCUAAUCUGCGAUAAGCGCCGGUAAGGUGAUAUGAACCGUUAUAACCGGCGAUUUCCGAAUGGGGAAACCCAGUGUGAUUCGUCACACUAUCAUUAACUGAAUCCAUAGGUUAAUGAGGCGAACCGGGGGAACUGAAACAUCUAAGUACCCCGAGGAAAAGAAAUCAACCGAGAUUCCCCCAGUAGCGGCGAGCGAACGGGGAGGAGCCCAGAGCCUGAAUCAGCAUGUGUGUUAGUGGAAGCGUCUGGAAAGGCGCGCGAUACAGGGUGACAGCCCCGUACACAAAAGCGCAUGUGCUGUGAGCUCGAUGAGUAGGGCGGGACACGUGGUAUCCUGUCUGAAUAUGGGGGGACCAUCCUCCAAGGCUAAAUACUCCUGACUGACCGAUAGUGAACCAGUACCGUGAGGGAAAGGCGAAAAGAACCCCGGCGAGGGGAGUGAAAAAGAACCUGAAACCGUGUACGUACAAGCAGUGGGAGCACCCUUUGGGGUGUGACUGCGUACCUUUUGUAUAAUGGGUCAGCGACUUAUAUUCUGUAGCAAGGUUAACCGAAUAGGGGAGCCGGAGGGAAACCGAGUCUUAAUUGGGCGUUAAGUUGCAGGGUAUAGACCCGAAACCCGGUGAUCUAGCCAUGGGCAGGUUGAAGGUUGGGUAACACUAACUGGAGGACCGAACCGACUAAUGUUGAAAAAUUAGCGGAUGACCUGUGGCUGGGGGUGAAAGGCCAAUCAAACCGGGAGAUAGCUGGUUCUCCCCGAAAGCUAUUUAGGUAGCGCCUCGUGAACUCAUCUCCGGGGGUAGAGCACUGUUUCGGCUAGGGGGCCAUCCCGGCUUACCAACCCGAUGCAAACUGCGAAUACCGGAGAAUGUUAUCACGGGAGACACACGGCGGGUGCUAACGUCCGUCGUGAAGAGGGAAACAACCCAGACCGCCAGCUAAGGUCCCAAAGUCAUGGUUAAGUGGGAAACGAUGUGGGAAGGCCCAGACAGCCAGGAUGUUGGCUUAGAAGCAGCCAUCAUUUAAAGAAAGCGUAAUAGCUCACUGGUCGAGUCGGCCUGCGCGGAAGAUGUAACGGGGCUAAACCAUGCACCGAAGCUGCGGCAGCGACGCUGAUGCGUUGUUGGGUAGGGGAGCGUUCUGUAAGCCUGUGAAGGUGGCCUGUGAGGGUUGCUGGAGGUAUCAGAAGUGCGAAUGCUGACAUAAGUAACGAUAAAGCGGGUGAAAAGCCCGCUCGCCGGAAGACCAAGGGUUCCUGUCCAACGUUAAUCGGGGCAGGGUGAGUCGACCCCUAAGGCGAGGCCGAAAGGCGUAGUCGAUGGGAAACGGGUUAAUAUUCCCGUACUUGGUGUUACUGCGAAGGGGGGACGGAGAAGGCUAUGUUGGCCGGGCGACGGUUGUCCCGGUUUAAGCGUGUAGGUGUGUGUUCCAGGUAAAUCCGGUUCACUUUAACACUGAGGCGUGACGACGAGGCACUACGGUGCUGAAGCAACAAAUGCCCUGCUUCCAGGAAAAGCCUCUAAGCAUCAGGUAACAUCAAAUCGUACCCCAAACCGACACAGGUGGUCAGGUAGAGAAUACCAAGGCGCUUGAGAGAACUCGGGUGAAGGAACUAGGCAAAAUGGUGCCGUAACUUCGGGAGAAGGCACGCUGACACGUAGGUGAAGUGAUUUACUCAUGGAGCUGAAGUCAGUCGAAGAUACCAGCUGGCUGCAACUGUUUAUUAAAAACACAGCACUGUGCAAACACGAAAGUGGACGUAUACGGUGUGACGCCUGCCCGGUGCCGGAAGGUUAAUUGAUGGGGUCAGCGCAAGCGAAGCUCCUGAUCGAAGCCCCGGUAAACGGCGGCCGUAACUAUAACGGUCCUAAGGUAGCGAAAUUCCUUGUCGGGUAAGUUCCGACCUGCACGAAUGGCGUAAUGAUGGCCAGGCUGUCUCCACCCGAGACUCAGUGAAAUUGAACUCGCUGUGAAGAUGCAGUGUACCCGCGGCAAGACGGAAAGACCCCGUGAACCUUUACUAUAGCUUGACACUGAACAUUGAGCCUUGAUGUGUAGGAUAGGUGGGAGGCUUUGAAGUGUGGACGCCAGUCUGCAUGGAGCCGACCUUGAAAUACCACCCUUUAAUGUUUGAUGUUCUAACGUGGACCCGUGAUCCGGGUUGCGGACAGUGUCUGGUGGGUAGUUUGACUGGGGCGGUCUCCUCCUAAAGAGUAACGGAGGAGCACGAAGGUUGGCUAAUCCUGGUCGGACAUCAGGAGGUUAGUGCAAUGGCAUAAGCCAGCUUGACUGCGAGCGUGACGGCGCGAGCAGGUGCGAAAGCAGGUCAUAGUGAUCCGGUGGUUCUGAAUGGAAGGGCCAUCGCUCAACGGAUAAAAGGUACUCCGGGGAUAACAGGCUGAUACCGCCCAAGAGUUCAUAUCGACGGCGGUGUUUGGCACCUCGAUGUCGGCUCAUCACAUCCUGGGGCUGAAGUAGGUCCCAAGGGUAUGGCUGUUCGCCAUUUAAAGUGGUACGCGAGCUGGGUUUAGAACGUCGUGAGACAGUUCGGUCCCUAUCUGCCGUGGGCGCUGGAGAACUGAGGGGGGCUGCUCCUAGUACGAGAGGACCGGAGUGGACGCAUCACUGGUGUUCGGGUUGUCAUGCCAAUGGCACUGCCCGGUAGCUAAAUGCGGAAGAGAUAAGUGCUGAAAGCAUCUAAGCACGAAACUUGCCCCGAGAUGAGUUCUCCCUGAGACUUAAAGUCUCCUGAAGGAACGUUGAAGACGACGACGUUGAUAGGCCGGGUGUGUAAGCGCAGCGAUGCGUUGAGCUAACCGGUACUAAUGAACCGUGAGGCUUAACCUU